rnacentral:rRNA from 1 species
UACAGAGGAGCCAAGCGUUGUCCGGAUUGACUGGGCGUAAAGCGCACGCAGGCGGCUGCGCGCGUGGGGUGUGAAAUCUGGCCGCUUAACGGCCAGGCGCCAUCCCAUACGGCGCGUCUGGAGUGAUGCAGAGGUCGAUGGAAUUGCCGGUGUAGUGGUGAAAUGCGUAGAGAUCGGCAGGAACACCCAGGGGGGAAACCAGUCGACUGGGCAUCUACUGACGCUGAGGUGCGAGAGCGUGGGGAGCGAACCGG